rnacentral:rRNA from 1 species
GGUAAAGGGGGGCCGGCGGGGGGGAUAAUACGAGGGGGGUAAGCGUUAAUCGGAAUUACGGGGCGUACAGCGGGCGUAGGGGGUUGGGGAAGUUGAAUGUGAAAGCGCCGGGGUCAACCUGGGAACGGCAUCCAAAACUGCCCGACUAGAGUACGGUAGAGGGUGGGGGAAUUUCCUGUGUAGCGGUGAAAUGCGUAGAUAUAGGAAGGAACACCAGUGGCGAAGGCGACCACCUGGACUGAUACUGACACUGAGGUGCGAAAGCGUGGGGAGCAAACAGGAUUAGAUACCCGGGUAGUC